AACUACUUACUAGAUCUCGUUCAAACCAAUUUUCGGUGGAAGUUUACAUGGUAAUGUACAUCAUAUAUUUUUUUUAGUUUUAUCAUUCUCUUAUUUUAGAAGUUACAGGGGGGGGGACACACAUUUUACCACUUUGGAAGUGUCUCUCGCGCAAACUAUUCACUUUAGAAAAAAAUGAUAUUAGAAACCUCAAUAUCAUUUUUGAAGACCUAUCCAUAGAUACCCCACACGUAUGGGUUUGAUGAAAAAAAAAUUUUUGAGCGAUUUAUGACGUAUAAAAAAAACUACUCACUAGAUCUCGUUCAAAACAAUUUUCGGUGGAAGUUUACAUGGUAAUGUACAUCAUAUAUUUUUUUUAGUUUUAUCGUUCUCUUAUUUUAGAAGUUACAGGGGGGGGGGGGGGACACACAUUUUACCACUUUGGAAGUGUCUCUCGCGCAAACUAAAUU